rnacentral:rRNA from 1 species
CCAUGCAUGCCUAAGUCCAGCCGGGUGUCUUUACGGACGCCUAGCGAAACCGCGGACGGCUCAUUAAAUCAGUUGUGGUCUAAAUGGGAGAUACGGUUAUCUCUGGUUGGAUAACUGUGGUAAUUCCAGAGCUAAUACAUGCGACUUUAAAUCACUAGUCUAGCGAUAGGCGACUGAUGCUUUUAUUAGACCGAGGUGAACGGCCGCGUGGAAUUUUCUAACCGAGAGUUUGCGCGGCUCGCGAUGCUAAGGUGACUCUGGAUAACACCAUGCUAAGCGCACGCAUCGCUAUCGUAGCGGGCGGCGCUGCCACUUUCGAGUGACUGCCUUAUCAGCUAAUAACGUUUGUUAUGCGCAAACGCUGGCUAUGACGGGUAACGGGGAAUCAGGGCUCGAUUCCGGAGAGGCAGCCUGAGAGACGGCUACCACGUCCAAGGACGGCAGCAGGCACGCAAAUUACCCAAUCCCAGCACCUGGGGGAGGUAGUGACGAAACAUACCGAUGCGGGCGUCUCUUCGGAGCGCCCGCAAUCAGAAUGGCUAUUUCCUAAAAACCCUAACGAGAACCUACUAAAGGGCAAGUCUGGUGCCAGCAGCCGCGGUAAUUCCAGCUUUAGUGGCGUACACUAAAUUUGUUGAGGUUAAAAGGCUCGCAGUUGAAUGUCUGUUAAAGAGCGUAGAUGGGUCUAGACGUUGGGCUCCUCUACGGGCCUUGGUUUGUUGCGCCCGCAUACCUUUCUAUCUCGUAUAGUUUAGGUGGUGUGUGUGUAGUGUUCCUCGUGCUCCGGAGGUUGUUUUCCCGUCUUAUCCGUACCCUCUCGCUCGAUGACAUACGGGCGCUUUUCGGACUUACUUAUGUUUAAUCGCAUUAGUAAUGUUCCGGUUGCGUUCGUGUCACCUUGAGUAAAUCAGAGUGCUUAAUGCAGUCGCAACGAAGGGUUAUCGAGCGAUCGGUGGCCCGAGGCUUGGGAGUCGGUGACUUGGGGGUUGUGUGUGUGCGGAAGCACUAACGUGCGACUCGCGCGCGCGGCUCUUUGGAAACUUUCCCUGUGACGGUCUUUGCUUUGCAUGGUACGUCGGAAGACGCCGCUUAUUUACUCGUUGGUCGAUCGCGAUAUCAAUCGUAUCACGCCAGCGAGUGCGGAAUGAUGUGAUAGGAACGGUCGAGGGCAUUGGUAUUGCGGGGCGAGAGGUGAAAUUCUAUGACCCUCGCAAGACCUCCUGAAGCGAAGGCGUCUGCCAAGGACGUUUUCAUUAAUCAUGAACGAAAGUUAGAGGAUCGAAGGCGAUCAGAUACCGCCCUAGUUUUAACUGUAAACGAUAUUAACCAUCGAUCCGCGUGAGCACCCUCGCUGCGAGCGUGAUAGCUUAAUAAGCGGCGUUCGUGGCAGUGUGGGCUCGGCGGGCAGCUCCCCCAAGGAAACUUUUAAGUUAGAUUCCUGGGGGAGUCUGGUUGCAAAGCUGAAACUUAAAGGAAUUGACGGAAAGGCACCACCAGGCGUGGAGCUUGCGGCUCAAUUUGACUCAACACGGGCAAACUUACCAGGCCAGCACGGUCGUACGAUUGACAGAUUGAAAGCUCUUUCUCGAUUGAGUGGAUGGUGGUGCAUGGCCGUUCUUAGUUGGUGGAGUGAUCUGUCUGGUUAAUUCCGAUAACGAACGAGACUCUCCCCUGCUAACUGGCGCUUUUAAACGCAGUAGACGGCGUGAUUUCAAGGUAAGAAGCUCUCGUGUGGGUGCGUUUGUGUACGUGUGUGUGCUCGUUAGUGUUGGCUUUACGGUCGGUGCUUAUCGUGUGUCACGUGUGCUCGUUCGUGUCUUGCGGGAUGUCUUCGGACGAGUCCGCUGAUCUCCUUGGCUCCACUUUAGCUCCGCUUUAGUCCGUCGUGUUCGGGUGCUUCUUCGGUUGCGUGUGUGUAUUGCUCGACCGUGUGUGUGUACAUAUGUCGUUUAUCGGCGUGUUUAAGCAUGUGCGUGUGUGUGUGGUGCGCAUGCCUUUCGUUGCGGGUAUUUCUUCGUUCGCGUGUUCUAUUGCGUUAGUGCGACUAGUGUCCUCGGAGAGCGUAUCUUCUUAGAGGUAUUGACGACUCUUCAAAGUCGUAAGAGACAGAGAGCAAUAACAGGUCUGUGAUGCCCUUAGAUGUUCUGGGCCGCACGCGAGCUACAAUGCCGGGUACAGCGGGUUCUUAUUCCUAUACCGAGAGGUACGGGUAACCCUUUGAAAACCUAGUUAGAAGUCCGUAAGGAUUUCGCGUGGCUCGCUUGGGCCUGGGGCUUGCAAUUCUUUCCCACAAACGAGGAAUGCCUAGUAGUGGCGGAUCACUGAGCCCGCAGCGACUUAGUCCCUGCCCUUUGUACACACCGCCCGUCGCUACUACCGAUUGAGUGUACCAGUGAGAUCCUCGGACUGGCGAACCCGAACAUUUCGGUGUUAGGGCGAACGCUGGAAAGAGGCCCGAACUGGUGCACUUAGAGGAAGUAAAAGUCGUAACAAGGUUUUC